CUUGGCUGCCAUGCUAAUGGACAGAAACUGCCACCUAUGGUGAUUUUUAAGAGAAAGACUUUGCCUAAAGAGAAGUUUCCAGCAGGAAUCAUCAUUAAGGCAAAUGAAAAGGGCUGGAUGGAUGAGGAAAUGAUGAAAGAGUGGCUGAGGGAGGUGUAUGUAAGGAGACCAGGUGGUUUUUUCCACGCAUCACCAUCGCUCUUAAUCUGUGACUCUAUGCGUGCCCAUCUCACAGCCGAAUUCAGACACAGAGGAUGAGGACUUCGAUGGGUUUGAUUGAUGAUAAAAAUGCCUCCUCCCGAUAAUGCUGUCACUACUUGCAGCAUCAAGCAGCCCCAGCCAGGGUGACGGAUGUGUGGAAGCACGAGUGUUGUCAAAGGCUUGGUGGAUGUGUGGCAGAGGCAGCGUAAUCCCUCUGGGGAUGUACUUUCUGGGGUUUCAAGCUCCUGUUUCAAGACACAUAAGCAGAUUAGAAACUGAACACCGUGUGCUGACAUUAACAUAAAUUAUUCUCUGUGUCUGUUUGACCUGUGAAGGACUCAUCGUUUCCCUCGGGAGCCUCCAUGCUUCACAAACGCUGGAUUUCUCCCUUCAUGUGGCCAGAAUCACUAAAUCAACAAACUGCACCUGCUGCAGCGGCUACUUUCACACGCUCACAGAUAUUGUACUUCCCUUUCAAUGCAUGUUUGUUCUACAGACUUGAUUAAAUGUUACAAUACGUGUC